rnacentral:rRNA from 1 species
CACGUAGGGCGCAAGCGUUGUCCGGAAUUAUUGGGCGUAAAGAGCUCGUAGGCGGUCUGUUGCGUCCGCUGUGAAAACUCGGGGCUUAACCCCGAGCCUGCAGUGGAUACGGGCAGACUAGAGGUAGGUAGGGGAGAAUGGAAUUCCCGGUGUAGGUGGUGAUAUGCGUAGAUAUCGGGAGGAACACCUGUGGCGAAGGCGGCUUUCUGGGCCCUACCUGACGCUGAGACGCGAAAGCGUGGGGAGCGAACCGG